rnacentral:rRNA from 1 species
UACGUAGGGUGCAAGCGUUGUCCGGAAUUACUGGGCGUAAAGGGCGCGUAGGCGGCCUUCUAAGUCGAACGUGAAAUCCCCGGGCUCAACCCGGGAACUGCGUCCGAUACUGGAAGGCUUGAAUCCGGGAGAGGGAUGCGGAAUUCCAGGUGUAGGCGGUGAAAUGCGCAGAUAUCAGGAGGAACACCGAUGGCGAAGGCAGGUCUCUGGGCCACUACUGACGCUGAGAAGCGAAGCUGGGGAGC